CCUACGGGAGGCAGCAGUGGGGGAUAUUGCACAAUGGAGGAAAGUCUGAUGCAGCGACGCCGCGUGAGGGAAGACGGUCUUCGGAUUGUAAACCUCUGUCUGUGGGGAAGAAAAUGACGGUACCCAAAGAGGAAGCUCCGGCAAACUACGUGCCAGAAGCCGCGGUAAUACGGAGGGAGCGAGCUUAGUCCGGAAUGACUGGGUGAAAAGGGAGCGGAGGCGGGCGAGAAAGCUGAAUGUUAAGUCGACCGGCUAAACUGGUAGCUGCGUUCAAAACUUCUUGUCUUGAGUGAAGUAGAGGCAGGCGGAAUUCCUGGUGUAGCGGUGAAAUGCGUAGAUAUUAGGAGGAAUACCAGUGGCGAAGGCGGCCUGCUGGGCUUUAACUGACGCUGAGGCUCGAAAGCGUGGGGAGCAAACAGGAUUAGAUACCCUGGUAGUC
rnacentral:rRNA from 1 species